rnacentral:misc_RNA from 1 species
CACCAAUCAAGCACCGCUUGGCAUUAGGUCUCUUUCGCCCCCGGUCCCUCGCGGACGGCGGGGCGGGCCUCAAACCCUUCGGCGGAGUCUCACUGACUUUCGGGCGUAGCAGAAUUUCUAAAACGUCGAGAGCAGCGGGGCCACAGCCGCGAAGAUACGGCGGGUCGCGAGACCCCCAUCUUUUUUCUCAAA